UAUCUACUCCCUCUGUUCUAAAUUUUUUGUCUUAAAUUUGUCUAAAUACAAAUGUAUCUACUUACGUUUUAAUGUUAAAUGCAUCUAUAUCUAGACAGAUCUAAGACAAGUAUUUCCGGAUGGAGGUAAUAUAUG
rnacentral:pre_miRNA from 1 species